rnacentral:lncRNA from 1 species
UUUUUUAAGAUUUAUUUUAUUAAUAUAUGUAAGUACACUGUAGCUGUCUUCAGACACUCCAGAAGAGGGAGUCAGAUCUCGUUACAGAUGGUUGUGAGCCACCAUGUGGUUGCUGGGAUUUGAACUUUGGACCUUCGGAAGAGCAGUAGGGUGCUCUUACCCACUGAGCCAUCUCACCAGCCCCCACACCUAGCCUUUUAAUACUAUUUUUGAGAAUAGGGUCUCAUGUGGUCAAAUCUGGUCUUGAACUCUUGACCCUCUGCGUCCGUCUACCUCCUAAAGUGAUGACGAGAUUAUAGGUGUGAACCACCAUAAACCAUAUCCAGUGUUGUUUUGAGGUAGGGUCUUUAAAUUUAUUUUAUUAUUUUAUAUGUAUAUGUAGGUGGGUGCCUGUAGAGCUCAGAAGAGGGUAUUGGAUCCUCUGGAACUGGAGUUACAGGCAGUUGGUUGUUUAUGAGGGUAUUAGGAACUGAACUUAAGUCCUCUUCGAGAGGCAGGAGGAUUUUGAGUUCGAAGCUAGCUUGAGCACAUGGUAAGACCCUGUGCCAAAAAAGAAAGCAGCAAGCAAAAAUUAAAGAAAUCGCUAAAUCUAUGCUGAGCUGAAGAGCGUACUGUACCUGGAUAGUACUGAAAAGCUGCUCUUAGAGAGGACAUGCUACUAAGCCGCCUCCAAGUUUCCUCCUCUUGCAUUUCUGUUUGCUGGUUUGGUAGAACCUCUGGGAUCAAACAUGUUCUGGCCUCACCUCCACAAAGCACACAACUGUACAAUGUUGAGAAGAGGAAAGGGAAGAUCUAGAGGGCCAAGAAAUGAGUCAAAAUCUACCUUGGUCUGGGCAUUUCUAGGUGACAAUAGAUUCCUUCCUUGAGGUACUUUACAGUGGAUCCUGCUUGAAUUAAAGCACCAGCCUUGGGAGAUGGAGAGAUGGCUCAGGGGAUAAGAAGAGCAUUUGCUUUCUUGCAGAGGACCUGGGCUGGCUUUAACUGCAGCAUCCAUAUGGAGUGGUUCAUAACCACCUGCAGCACCGUCUUCUGACCUUGGGCCUCAGGCAAGCAUGUGAUGCACACACAUGCAGGCAAACAGUCAUAAAAAUAAAUACUGAGAAAAGCAGUGCAGCCUUAGUUCAUAGUUGGAUUUACCAAAUCUUCUUCCAGUCCUUUGUCUCUCAGUUCCCAUCCUGUUUUUGGUCUCAGUUCCCUCUGCUGCUCUUUUAGCUGGCUCUCCCGUUCUCAGUUGUUAGUGGAGAGCAAUCUGCAGGUUGCCAUUCUCCAUGAAUAACCUGAAAUCUUAAUACCUUACACUUUCCUUCAGCCUUUACUUUUUAUUUCCCCCACCCUCAAAGCUGAAUUACUGUAGCAGUUCAGAUCCUUAAAAACUUUGUACAGAGGUAUUUUUUUUUCUUCCUGUUUUCAAGUUUUAAUUUCUGAGUGUGUUUCCAGUGUUUUACAGAUUAGACCUCAAUUCCAUACAUUGUCUCACUUUAAUAUUUUUUCCUAAAACUGACAAAAUCCUGAUUUCCACUUCUCAUUCAAAUAUCAGGCCAUCUAAAGUGCACCAGGAUGUAUAUGCAUCUAGAGGAGGAAGCUGCAGGACACAUUGGCGACUCAAAGGUUGACAUUGUUUCAGUGGCCUUUGCUUCCUGAAUCAUCUUAAUGGGGCUUUUGUUAAAUUCCUUUGGCACUAACAGUGGAGAUACUUGGCCUGAGUGCCCCUUCCCCCUGCUUUGGGCAAAGGUAUCAAUUACAUUAAGCCCCCAAAGCACUCCCAUCUCGUCCCUGGCAGUCCCCUGUGCCCCUCUCCCAGCUGCGUCCUUGCUGGUGCUUGGCCCCUCCAUUUCGUUAGGAGAAGCAAUCUCCUCAUUCCUGCACCGAGGAGAUAUAUUUCUCAGGCAGGGCUUGAGCUGUGCCAGCACUACCCCCGGUGAGGUCCCUGGCAGCCAUAAAAAUUUUUAUUGUGAUUAUGUUGGUGUCGGGGUGUCCAUCUGGGUUAUUGCACACCUAGUUUAAUUGAUUGAAGUUUAAUUUAUUGACACUUCAAAUUAAAUGAUCAGAAUAAACUGUGCUGUUACUCUGGCCGGCUUGUUUUAAUGGUUGAUUGCUGGAAGCAGACCUUGGCUUGAACUAAAACCCCAAAAGAGUAAUUGACGCUGCUUCUAACUCUCCCCAUGUCUUGCCCUCUAAGAAGACCUCGUUAUAGAUUUCCGACGUAUUUAUUUAUAUAUUUUUUUCCUCUCCUUCACAGUGGUGGGAAAGGGUUGGUCCCUGGCAAGGUAUAAAUUAUAUGAAAGGUCUUGGGGAACUAUCACAUGGUCUGAAAGGAAGGGAGGAGGAGGAGGCCUCUACAUAAAGAAAAGCAGACCCCAGAGAAGCCAGGUCCUCCCGGGGAGGCAGAUUGUGAGUGCAGCUGUCCAUCUAUGUGAGGGAACCUCAAGGCUGGGCUCCUUCUCAUCUGUGUUCUUGCUACUUGCUGUUUCUUACUCCACUGGCAUGGUGUGACUGGCAUUGGCAGUGUGUCGACAGAAAAACUAAAGGAAAGAGGAGCUGGAGGGGCCAGUAAAGAUGGAACAGGCAUCACCAGGGCUGGUGCAGCCAUUUACGCUGGACUAAUGAAGGAAUACAGCUGAUGAAGAUGCCCUGGGAGGCUAAGUCCGUGUGCACUGUGAGAUGCCAGUGUUGGCAAAGGCCCUCCAGGUUUCCCUCUUUUGGUGUUGGGCAGAGUGUUUCUCUCUCAGCAGACUGUUAGAUUUAUUCUGUCCUUACAUUGCCUAGCCUUUGUCACCUUCGUGUCUUCAGGAAAUCCUUUUGUCUAACUUAAUUCACGUGCUGCGGAGGAAAGCUUAUCUCGGUGCUGGAAAUGUAGCUCAAUUGGAAGAGUGCAUACCUGGCGCCCCAUAAAUUGGGUAAGGUGGUGUACACUGUAGCCUCCGUACUCAGUAGAUAGAAUCAGAAAGAUCAGAAAUUCAAGGUUAUCCUCAGCUACAUGGCAACUUGUGGCCAGUCUGGAAUAUCUGAGGACCCCCCCCAAUAAAUAAACAAAUAAAUAGAUAGAUAGAUAAAUAAAUAAAUAAAUAAAUAAAUAAAUAUCAGAGAGUAGAAAGUCUGCAUUUUACUGGCUUUUAUUUUUUUCUUCACCAUCAAUGUACAUAACUCCACUUUUACCAAAUUGCUCUGUUAACAAAUUGUCCCCAACUUUUUUCUGUGUGUGUGUUGAGGGUGUUAAUUAUAUAGCCGAGGCUAGCCUUAAUUUAUGAUCCUCUUGUCUUAUUUUCCUGCAUAGGAGUUAUAGGUAUGUGCCACCAAACCCAGCCUCCAUCUUCUCUGUUAUGUAGUUAGACUGAAGAACACAGAAACUGUUCACUUUGUCUUUAGAUCCUUUGUCUGGAGCAGAGGGCAGCAGGAUUAGUCAUGAUAUAAACUAGGGUGGAGGGCGAACCAUAAGUGGAUCUAAGCUGAUGGUGGUUGUCUGUAACUCCCAGCACUUGGGAAGCAGAGACAGGAUUCCUGGCCUGAGGCUAAAAGUUUGAGGCCAGGAUGAAAAUUGUAGUAAAAUCCUGUCUUGAAAAAAAAAAUGUGAAAAGAAAUUUAAGGCUUGCUGGAGAGAUGGCUCAGAGGUUAAGAGCACUUGGCAGUCUGUUAUUCCAGAGGUCCUGAGUUCAAUUCCCAGCAACCACAUGGUGGCUCAUAAUGAGAUCUGGCGCCCUCUUCUGGCUAUGCAGCCAGAAUGUUGUAUACAUAAUAAAUCU